GAUGAACGCUGGCGGCGUGCCUAAUACAUGCAAGUCGAGCGAAGCGGGGACGGGUGAGUCACACGGGGAUAACCUCCUCUAAGACUGGGAUAACCUCGGGAAACAGGAGCUAAACCGAAUACUGAUAGAUGGAUCCGCGCUGCAGUAGCUAGUUGGUAAGGUAACGGCUUACCAAGGCAACGAUGCAUAGCCGACCUGAGAGGGUGUGCGGCCACACUGGAACUGAGACACGGUCCAGACUCCAACGGGAGGCAGCCGUAGGGAAUCUUCCGCAAUGGGCGAAAGCCUGACGGAGCAACGCCGCGUGAGGGAGGAAGGUCGUCGGAUCGUAAAACUCUGUUAUUAGGGAAGCGGUACCUAAUCAGAAAGCCACGGCUAACUACGUGCCAGCAGCCGCGGUAAUUC
rnacentral:rRNA from 1 species